AUUGAACGCUGGCGGCAUGCCUAACACAUGCAAGUCGAACGGAGGUAGGGGCAACUCUACUUCAGUGGCGGACGGGUGAGGAAUGCGUCGGAAUCUACCCUAUGGUGGGGGAUAACACAGGGAAACUUGUGCUAAUACCGCAUAAUGUCGGGAGACCAAAGCAGGGGACCGCAAGGCCUUGCGCGAUAGGAUGAGCCGACGCCCGAUUAGCUAGUUGGUAGGGUAAAGGCCUACCAAGGCGACGAUCGGUAGCUGGUCUGAGAGGAUGAUCAGCCACACUGGGACUGAGACACGGCCCAGACUCCUACGGGAGGCAGCAGUGGGGAAUAUUGGACAAUGGGCGCAAGCCUGAUCCAGCAAUGCCGCGUGUGUGAAGAAGGCCUGCGGGUUGUAAAGCACUUUUGUUCGGGAAGAAAUCAUGCUGGUUAAUACCUGGUAUGGAUGACGGUACCGAAAGAAUAAGCACCGGCUAACUUCGUGCCAGC
rnacentral:rRNA from 1 species